rnacentral:rRNA from 1 species
AUUGAACGCUGGCGGCAGGCUUAACACAUGCAAGUCGAGCGGGGACUUCGGUCCUAGCGGCGAACGGGUGAGGAAUGCUUGGGAAUCUGCCCAGUAGUGGGGGAUAACGUUUCGAAAGGAACGCUAAUACCGCAUACGUCCUACGGGAGAAAGGGGGGGAUCUUCGGACCUCUCGCUAUUGGAUGAGCCCAAGUCGGAUUAGCUAGUUGGUGAGGUAAAGGCUCACCAAGGCGACGAUCCGUAGCUGGUCUGAGAGGAUGAUCAGCCACACUGGAACUGAGACACGGUCAAGACUCCUACGGGAGGCAGCAGUGGGGAAUAUUGGACAAUGGGCGAAAGCCUGAUCCAGCCAUGCCGCGUGUGUGAAGAAGGCCUUCGGGUUGUAAAGCACUUUAAGCGAGGAGGAAUGGCUCUUGGUUAAUAACCUUGAGCAGUGACGUUACUCGCAGAAUAAGCACCGGCUAACUCUGUGCCAGCAGCCGCCGUAAAAC